rnacentral:rRNA from 1 species
AGAACGAACGCUGGCGGCGUGUUUAAGGCAUGCAAGUCGCACGGAAUCAUUUGAGUAGUAAUACGAUAAUGGUUCAGUGGCGCACGGGUGAGUAACACGUGAAUUACAUGCCCUAUAGUGGGGAAUAGCCCAGGGAAACUUGGAUUAAUACCCCAUAGUCUCGCAAGAGUAAAGGUGGCCGCAAGGCUGUCGCUAUAGGAUUGGUUCGCGCCCUAUCAGCUUGUUGGUGAGGUAACGGCUCACCGAAGGCUA